rnacentral:rRNA from 1 species
AACGAACGCUGGCGGCAUGCCUAACACAUGCAAGUCGAACGGGAGCGUCGGGUCUUUUGGCGCACGGGUGCGUAACGCGUGGGAAGCUUCACUUAUGGUCGCGUGAACUCCCCUAAGGGGGUGCUAAUACCGGGUAAUGUCUUCGCCCCAAAGAUUUAUCGCCUUUGGGUGGGCCCGCGUUGGAUUAGCUAGUUGGUAGGGUAAAAGCCUACCAAGGCGACGAUCCAUAGCUGGUCUGAGAGGAUGGUCAGCCACACUGGAACUGAGACACGGCCCAGACUCCUACGGGAGGCAGCAGUGGGGAAUAUUGGACAAUGGGCGAAAGCCUGAUGCAGCAAUGCCGCGUGAGUGAUGAAGGCCUUCGGGUUGUAAAGCUCUUUUACACGGGAGGAUAAUGACGGUACCGGGAGAAUAAGCUCCGGCUAACUACGUG